rnacentral:rRNA from 1 species
UAGGGAAUCUUCCACAAUGGACGCAAGCCUGAUGGAGCAACACCGCGUGAGUGAAGAAGGGUUUCGGCUCGUAAAGCUCUGUUGUUAAAGAAGAACACGUAUGAGAGUAACUGUUCAUACGUUGACGGUAUUUAACCAGAAAGUCACGGCUAACUACGUGUCAG